rnacentral:rRNA from 1 species
AUGGCAAGCAGCAGCAGCAUCCCAGCCACCACCGUCCGUGGGAUCCGUGUUGCGCAGCGUGCGGACGGGCCGGCGGCGGUGCUGGCCAUCGGCACGGCGAACCCGCCCCACUGCGUGCCCCAGGGCGACUACCCCGACUACUACUUCCGCGUCACCAACAGCGACCACUUCACCGACAUCAAACCCACCUUCGCCAAGCUAUGCGGGAUGACGGGCAUCGGCAGGCGUUUCUUCCACCACACCGACGAACUGCUCGCCACGCACUCGGACUUGUCCCUCGACGCCCCGCUGGACGUCGUGGCUACCGCCGCCCCGGAGCUCGCCGCGUCGGCUGCGGCGAACGCCAUCGCCGAGUGGGGCCGUCCGGCGGGCGACAUCACCCAUCUCGUCGUCAGCACCAACGCGGGAUCGCACGCCCCGGGCACCGAUGUCCGCUUGGUCUCCCUCCUCGGCCUCCGCCAUGAUGUCCUGCGCACCGUGCUCCAGCUCAACCGCUGCGCUUCCGGGUGCGCCGCCCUGCGCCUAGCCAAGGACCUCGCCGAGAACAACCGCGGCGCGCGCGUCCUCGUGGCCUGCGUCGAGCUCACCGUCACCGCCUUCCACGCACCUCACGAGGCGGACACCUUCGACACCCUCAUACCCCAGGGGCUCUUCAGUGACGGCGCCGGCGCCGUCAUCGUGGGCGCCGACCCUGACGUCCACGAGCGCCCGCUGUUCGAGAUGGUGUCGGCCUCGCAGUAUGUGAUACCAGACACCGAGCACAUGCUCACCAUGCAGCUCGGGAGCGGUGGCAUCGGCGGGACCAUCGCCACCGGACUGCCAAGACUGGCUGCAGGCAUCGUUGAGCGGUGCCUGCUGGAUGCGUUCGGCAACCACCUAGUCGUCGUCGGAGGCGUAGUCGAAUGGAACAACCUCUUCUGGGCAGUGCAUCCCGGCAGUAGUGCGAUGCUCGACCACAUCGUCAGGGCGCUCCGGCUGGCCCCGGGGAAGCUGGCGGCGAGCAGAACCGUGGUGAGAGAGUAUGGUAACAUGCUUGGCGCCACGGUUAUCUUUGUGCUCGAUGAGGUCAGGCGCCAAAGAGAAGAUCCUGAAGGAGAGGGAGCUGCCGCUGAUGAAGACUGGGGGGUGAUGAUGGGAUUUGGGCCGGGGUUCACUGUGGAGACGAUGCUGCUGCACGCUGCCACCUAG